rnacentral:rRNA from 1 species
GUUAAGUCAGGCAACGAGCGAGACCCACGCCAACAGUUGCCAGCUCGUCCUCCCGGGGAUGUGGGGACACUGUUGGGACCGCCUCUGCUAAAGAGGAGGAAGGAAUGGGCAACGGUAGGUCAGCAUGCCCCGAAUUAUCUGGGCUACACGCGGGCUACAAUGGGUGGGACAAUGGGUAUCGACACCGAAAGGUGAAGGCAAUCUCCUAAACCCAUCCGUAGUUCGGAUUGUGGGCUGCAACUCGCCCACAUGAAGCUGGAAUCUGUAGUAAUCGUGUCUCAAAAUGGCACGGUGAAUAUGUCCCUGCUCCUU